rnacentral:rRNA from 1 species
CAAUAGCGUAUAUUAAAGUUGUUGCAGUUAAAAAGCUCGUAGUUGGAUUUCUGGGAGGGUGCCGCCGUCCGGCGUGUCCGUGUGCAGUGGCGCCCUUCCAUCCUUCUGUUAGCGUCUCUUGGCAUUCAUUUGCUGGUGGCGGGCUCAGAUAUUUUACCUUGAGAAAAUUAGAGUGUUUCAGGCAGGCUAGGCCGGAAUACAUUAGCAUGGAAUAAUGGAAUAGGACUACGGUCUCUUUGUUGGUUUGAGGGACUGCAGUAAUGAUUAAUAGGGAUAGUUGGGGGCACCUGUAUUGCGUUGUCAGAGGUGAAAUUCUUGGAUUUACGCAAGACAAACAGCUGCGAAAGCGUCUGCCAAGGAUGUUUUCAUUAA